UCCUGGCUCAGGAUGAACGCUAGCUACAGGCUUAACACAUGCAAGUCGAGGGGCAGCAUGAACUUAGCUUGCUAAGUUUGAUGGCGACCGGCGCACGGGUGAGUAACACGUAUCCAACCUGCCGAUGACUCGGGGAUAGCCUUUCGAAAGAAAGAUUAAUACCCGAUGGCAUAGUUCUUCCGCAUGGUGGAACUAUUAAAGAAUUUCGGUCAUCGAUGGGGAUGCGUUCCAUUAGGUUGUUGGCGGGGUAACGGCCCACCAAGCCUUCGAUGGAUAGGGGUUCUGAGAGGAAGGUCCCCCACAUUGGAACUGAGACACGGUCCAAACUCCUACGGGAGGCAGCAGUGAGGAAUAUUGGUCAAUGGGCGAGAGCCUGAACCAGCCAAGUAGCGUGAAGGAUGACUGCCCUAUGGGUUGUAAACUUCUUUUAUAAAGGAAUAAAGUCGGGUAUGUAUACCCGUUUGCAUGUACUUUAUGAAUAAGGAUCGGCUAACUCCGUGCCAGCAGCCGCGGUAAUACGGAGGAUCCGAGCGUUAUCCGGAUUUAUUGGGUUUAAAGGGAGCGUAGAUGGGUUGUUAAGUCAGUUGUGAAAGUUUGCGGCUCAACCGUAAAAUUGCAAUUGAUACUGGCAGUCUUGAGUACAGUUGAGGUAGGCGGAAUUCGUGGUGUAGCGGUGAAAUGCUUAGAUAUCACGAAGAACUCCGAUUGCGAAGGCAGCUUACUAACCUGUAACUGACAUUGAUGCUCGAAAGUGUGGGUAUCAAACAGGAUUAGAUACCCUGGUAGUCCACACGGUAAACGAUGAAUACUCGCUGUUUGCGAUAUACGGCAAGCGGCCAAGCGAAAGCGUUAAGUAUUCCACCUGGGGAGUACGCCGGCAACGGUGAAACUCAAAGGAAUUGACGGGGGCCC
rnacentral:rRNA from 1 species